rnacentral:rRNA from 1 species
UACGUAGGGGGCGAGCGUUGUCCGGAUUUACUGGGCGUAAAGGGCGUGCAGGCGGUGUCGUAAGUUUGGAGUGACAGUGCUCGGCUUAACUGAGCAAGGCCUCUGAAAACUGCGAGACUUGAGGACCAGAGAGGGACAUAGAAUUCCGGGUGGAGUGGUGAAAUGCGUAGAUAUCCGGAGGAAUACCAAAGGCGAAGGCAGUGUCCUGGCUGGUAACUGACGCUGAGGCGCGAAAGCUAGGGGAG